UACGUAGGGGGCAAGCGUUGUCCGGAAUUAUUGGGCGUAAAGAGCGCGUAGGCGGUCCGGUAAGUCGGCUGUGAAAGUCAAGGGCUCAACCCUUGAAAGCCGGCCGAUACUGUCGGACUAGAGUCCGGAAGAGGCGAGUGGAAUUCCCGGUGUAGCGGUGAAAUGCGCAGAUAUCGGGAGGAACACCAAUGGCGAAGGCAGCUCGCUGGGACGGUA
rnacentral:rRNA from 1 species